CCUACGGGAGGCAGCAGUGGGGAAUAUUGGGCAAUGGGCGAAAGCCUGACCCAGCGACGCCGCGUGAGGGACGAAGGCCUUCGGGUUGUAAACCUCUUUCAGCAGGGAAGAAGCGAAAGUGACGGUACCUGCAGAAGAAGCACCGGCUAACUACGUGCCAGCAGCCGCGGUAAUACGUAGGGUGCAAGCGUUGUCCGGAAUUAUUGGGCGUAAAGAGCUCGUAGGUGGUUUGCCACGUCGGAUGUGAAAACCUGAGGCUUAACCUCAGGCCUGCAUUCGAUACGGGCAGACUAGAGUGUGGUAGGGGAGACUGGAAUUCCUGGUGUAGCGGUGAAAUGCGCAGAUAUCAGGAGGAACACCGGUGGCGAAGGCGGGUCUCUGGGCCAUAACUGACACUGAGGAGCGAAAGCGUGGGGAGCAAACAGGAUUAGAUACCCUGGUAGUCCACGCCGUAAACGGUGGGCACUAGAUGUGGGGACCUUCCACGGUCUCUGCGUCGCNGCUACGCAUAGUCGCCCGCCGUCGGGAGGUACGGCCGCGACGGACGUAAACUACAAAGGAAGUUAGACGGCGUGAGACGUGCCGACGGACGACGACGAGGGAGAGG
rnacentral:rRNA from 1 species